GUAAGGAGUUCUGUCUGGAGUUUGUGGUGGGGAUUGUCAUGUGGACUCUUGUGGAGUUGUGUUACAGAAGUGUGUUGAACUGUCUAUAACCCACCGGUGGUUUUUUAUCUACCACUGCGCCCGAAUGAUUUGGAACCCAGUAACUUCACAGGUUCAUAAUCUUUUGCAGCGAUGUAUUCUGGGAAGGGGACAGCUGUGGCGCUAGUUUUCAGCCUCCUGGUGCUGUGUGUUGUUGGCUUCUCCGGCUUCUUCAUUGAAAACCAAGGGUAACUCCCAGGGGAAGCUGCACACUGCAACCUAAAUUCUGGUCAUACACAGGACUCGCCUAUAACCUGACCACACCCACAUCCCAAAAUCCUAUAUAUGUCUGUGCACCUGCAACGUGAGCAGAAGACGCUGGGUAUACUGCACAGGAAACUGAUAGAGGAAAUCUAUGAAACAUGGCACUCACACCAAUGCACCUGCUGGUGACUUUUAGUGUGGCCGCCCUGCUGAUAUAUGCACCGACGACAACUAAUUCACAGACCACCACUAUGCAAUGCAGAGAGAACCAAGAAUACAAGGCAUCUGAAAGUGACUGCCCAACCUGCAGCAACUACAGAACACCUCGUACAUGUCCUCCAGGUUGUGUCUGCAAGGAGGGUUUCCUACCCGAUGAUAAUGGAAACUGUGUGGAAAGGGCUACGUGUGAGUCCUGUAAAGGGAACACAACGUACAACAGCUGCGCCUCAAUUUGUGGCCGACGCUGCGAGGACAAGAAAAAGGAGGAGACUGAUAAAAAGCCAGUAAUCUGCCACAAUCCAUUAUGCAAGGGAGGCUGUGUCUGUAAGCCGGGGUAUUGGUAUCUGAAUAACACGUGUGUGCCUGCUCAGGAUUGCCCAUGAAAUAAAUA